rnacentral:rRNA from 1 species
UACGGAGGGUGCAAGCGUUGUUCGGAAUUACUGGGCGUAAAGCGUGUUUAGGCGGAUCUGCAAGUCAGAUGUGAAAUCCCCCGGCUUAACUGGGGAGGGUCGUUUGAUACUACAGGUCUUGAGUUUCGGGGAGGUGAGUGGAAUUCCCAGUGUAGAGGUGAAAUUCGUAGAUAUUGGGAGGAACACCAGAGGCGAAAGCGACUCACUAACCGAAUACUGACGCUGUUACACGAAAGCGUGGGUAGCAAAC